UACAGAGGUCCCAAGCGUUGUUCGGAUUCACUGGGCGUAAAGGGUGCGUAGGCGGUCGGGUAAGUCUGAUGUGAAAUCUCACAGCUUAACUGUGAAACUGCAUUGGAUACUAUCCGGCUCGAGGAAUGGAGGGGAGACUGGAAUACUUGGUGUAGCAGUGAAAUGCGUAGAUAUCAAGUGGAACACCAGUGGCGAAAGCGGCUUCCUGGUCCGACACCGACGUUCAGGCACGAAAGCGUGGGGAGCAAACAGG
rnacentral:rRNA from 1 species